rnacentral:rRNA from 1 species
UACCUGCGGAGGGAUCAUUACCGAGUUUACAACUCCCAAACCCCUGUGAACAUACCAAUUGUUGCCUCGGCGGAUCAGCCCGCUCCCGGUAAAACGGGACGGCCCGCCAGAGGACCCCUAAACUCUGUUUCUAUAUGUAACUUCUGAGUAAAACCAUAAAUAAAUCAAAACUUUCAACAACGGAUCUCUUGGUUCUGGCAUCGAUGAAGAACGCAGCAAAAUGCGAUAAGUAAUGUGAAUUGCAGAAUUCAGUGAAUCAUCGAAUCUUUGAACGCACAUUGCGCCCGCCAGUAUUCUGGCGGGCAUGCCUGUUCGAGCGUCAUUUCAACCCUCAAGCCCAGCUUGGUGUUGGGACUCGCGAGUCAAAUCGCGUUCCCCAAAUUGAUUGGCGGUCACGUCGAGCUUCCAUAGCGUAGUAGUAAAACCCUCGUUACUGGUAAUCGUCGCGGCCACGCCGUUAAACCCCAACUUCUGAAUGUUGACCUCGGAUCAGGUAGGAAUACCCGCUGAACUUAAGCAUAUCAAUAAGCGGAGGAA